rnacentral:rRNA from 1 species
GACGAACGCUGGCGGCGUGCCUAAUACAUGCAAGUAGAACGCUGAAGCUUGGUGCUUGCACCGAGCGGAUGAGUUGCGAACGGGUGAGUAACGCGUAGGUAACCUGCCUGGUAGCGGGGGAUAACUAUUGGAAACGAUAGCUAAUACCGCAUAAGAGUAGAUGUUGCAUGACAUUUGCUUAAAAGGUGCAAUUGCAUCACUACCAGAUGGACCUGCGUUGUAUUAGCUAGUUGGUGAGGUAACGGCUCACCAAGGCAACGAUACAUAGCCGACCUGAGAGGGUGAUCGGCCACACUGGGACUGAGACACGGCCCAGACUCCUACGGGAGGCAGCAGUAGGGAAUCUUCGGCAAUGGACGGAAGUCUGACCGAGCAACGCCGCGUGAGUGAAGAAGGUUUUCGGAUCGUAAAGCUCUGUUGUAAGAGAAGAACGAGUGUGAGAGUGGAAAGUUCACACUGUGACGGUAUCUUACCAGAAAGGGACGGCUAACUACGUGCCAGCAGCCGCGGUAAUACGUAGGUCCCGAGCGUUGUCCGGAUUUAUUGGGCGUAAAGCGAGCGCAGGCGGUUAGAUAAGUCUGAAGUUAAAGGCUGUGGCUUAACCAUAGUACGCUUUGGAAACUGUUUAACUUGAGUGCAAGAGGGGAGAGUGGAAUUCCAUGUGUAGCGGUGAAAAUGCGUAGAUAUAUGGGAGGAACACCGGUGGCGAAAAGCGGCUCUCUGGCUUGUAACUGACGCUGAGGGUUCGAAAGCGUGGGGGAGCAAACAUGAUUAUAUAUCCUUGUCCUCUAAGGCGAAUU